rnacentral:rRNA from 1 species
CGUGGCGAACGGGUGCGUAACACGUGGACAACCUUCCUUUAGGUGGGGAAUAACCCAGCGAAAGUUGGGCUAAUACCGCAUAACAAAGCGAUGGCACAUGCUGCUGCUUUCAAAGCCGCAAGGCGCCAGAAGAGGGGUCCGCGGCCGAUUAGCUAGUUGGCGAGGUAACGGCUCACCAAGGCAAAGAUCGGUAGCCGGUCUGAGAGGAUGAUCGGCCACACUGGAACUGAGACACGGUCCAGACUCCUACGGGAGGCAGCAGUGGGGAAUCUUGCGCAAUGGGCGAAAGCCUGACGCAGCAACGCCGCGUGGGGGAUGAAGCUUCUCGGAGUGUAAACCCCUUUCGACCCGGACGAAUGCCCGCAAGGGCUUGACGGUACGGGUAUAAGAAGCCCCGGCUAACUACGUGCCAGCAGCCGCGGUAAAACGUAGGGGGCCAGCGUUGCUCGGAAUUACUGGGCGUAAAGGGUCCGUAGGCGGUGUGACAAGUCGGUAGUGAAAUCUCCGGGCUUAACUCGGAGGCUGCUGCCGAAACUGUUGUGCUAGAGUGCGAGAGAGGCGAGUGGAAUUGCGGGUGUAGCGGUGAAAUGCGUAGAUAUCCGCAGGAACAUCCGAGGCGAAAGCGGCUCGCUGGAUCGCAACUGACGCUGAGGGACGAAAGCUAGGGGAGCAAACAGGAUUAGAUACCCUGGUAGUCCUAGCCCUAAACCAUCAGGACUUGGGGUUUGCCCUGUACGGGGCAAGUCCCGUAGCUAACGCGUUAAGUCCUGCGCCUGGGGAGUACGGUCGCAAGACUGAAACUCAAAGGAAUUGACGGGGGCCCGCACAAGCGGUGGAACAUGUGGUUCAAUUCGA